GACUCAGUAGUGAAAAUAUCACGCCCGAAUCCGCUAUUGCAAUUGCAACGUAUGCGACAUAUUCGCGGGCGAUCCUGGUUCGAAUCCAGGCUGGGUCG